GAAGUGAUGACGGUGAUCGUUGUCGCCGCGGCUUCUAUGGAACCCAAGCAGUGCCGAAGGAAGUCUCAAGGCUCUUCCCCGACCAUUUGCUCCUUUUCCUGCGCGAGAUGCUGGGAUUACUGGCAUGAGUCACCAUGUCCUGCUUCUUUGUGGUUUGUUUGAUGUUUCUGUUGUCCUUAGAGACUCAUGUAAGGUAUCACUGUUGGUAGGACCGGCGAUUACAUAAGCUGAAGAAAACACCUUGUUAAAGCUCCUCCGGACAGUGCACAGGUAGAAAGGUACUUCAUCCUGAGGAGCCACAGGAUAGGACUUACUCCCUCCCACAGUUGUGCUCUGACUGCUCCCCACACACACUAAUUAAAGAUACUUUAUCUCAAAUGUUUGUAUCUUAAGAAAGAUGUAUCUGCAGAUGAUCACAAAUGUUAGUCUUGCUACAUUCAACAUAAGCUUAGUAAAUGCUAGUGGGAGGCACAGAGUUUAAGAUUAACCUGAAGCCCUCUUAAGAUGUAUAGCCAAUUCCUCUCUUUUAUUUAAAUAGCAUCUUUAUACUAUAACAGUUAUUUUGAUCAGCUGCUUCUUUCUCUCUAGGCCCCUCGAUUGAAUUUAAAGAC
rnacentral:lncRNA from 1 species